rnacentral:rRNA from 1 species
GACGAACGCUGGCGGCGUGCUUAACACAUGCAAGUCGAACGGAAAGGCCCUGCUUUUGUGGGGUGCUCGAGUGGCGAACGGGUGAGUAACACGUGAGUAACCUGCCCUUGACUUUGGGAUAACUUCAGGAAACUGGGGCUAAUACCGGAUAGGAGCUCCUGCUGCAUGGUGGGGGUUGGAAAGUUUCGGCGGUUGGGGAUGGACUCGCGGCUUAUCAGCUUGUUGGUGGGGUAGUGGCUUACCAAGGCUUUGACGGGUAGCCGGCCUGAGAGGGUGACCGGCAACAUUGGGACGGAGAUACGGCCCAGACUCCUACGGGAGGCAGAGGUGGGGAAUAUUGACAAAUGGGCGGAAGCCUGAUGCAGCACCGCCGCGUGGGGGAUGAGGGCCUUCGGGUGGUAAACCGCUUUCGCCUGUGACGAAGCGUGAGUGACGGUAAUGGGAAAAGAAGAACCGGCUAACUACGU